rnacentral:lncRNA from 1 species
GGAAAGAAGCAAGGAAGAUGGAAAAACAUGACUUGCGGCUGAUUCAAUUCCGUGUGCUCAGAGUGGUGUUGGCGGUGGCAGGACCUUCUGUCCCCGCUCGUGCGGCUACCCUGCCCGGGGCAUGGGGCGGCGGUGGUGUUCCUCGGCUAGGCAGCGGCCCGACGACCCGGCGGCGAUGGCCGGCAGCACGCGAGGUGGUGGCAUGGCCCCUUGGCGGCGGGACGGCCGGCGGUGCGGGAUGGCUGGCGAUGCGCCCCCGACCCAGAUCUAGGCCCUGCGGGCCCCAUCUAGGUCCUAGCGGGUCAGCCCCCAGCGUGGCUUCAUCGUCGUCGGUGUGGUGAGGAGGAGCGGCUCGGACAGGGGGCGGCGACGCCGACGGCGUGCCUGCUGCGGCGCGAUGGCGGGAGCUUUACGGGCGUUGAGGGCUUGGCUGGGCCAGUGGGCCCAUAGGCCUGGUAUGCUCCUGCUAUUGUAUCUGGUCGGCUACUGUCAUUGACAGUGGAGGUUGAGCCCUCCUGCGUGACGAUGGUGCUGCUGCCCCUAGUCCCGGCUCCUAUUCGUUGCUGUGCAGGCCUCACUUCACAGUGCCGUGGUGAGACGGCGUGGAGGCUUCAAGACCGCGUUGGCGCAGGAUGGUGGUCGGUUUGGU